UCCUAUUGUUAAUCAUUUUCAGCUGCAGUGACAUGAUCCACAGUCCUGCAUUUACUGCCUUUCACUUAAUGAUUUUGGACAGGUUUUAGAGAGCCAGGAUGUUGGUCUGGGCCUUUAUUUGGUUUUGGCUUUAGCUGAUAAUGUUUUAGUGAUGUCAGCUAGUGCAGUUCUCAAAUGGCUGCCUAUUAGGAAAAGAAUUCAGAGGAUUUGACUGCUCCUAAUCAUCUGUCAUUGCUGCUAGAUAAUGAUUGGCAAUUUUUAAGACUCAACUGGAAAUCUCAACAGUUGCUGGUAAACCAUUAACCAUAAAAACGUUGCUUUUGAACACCAGUGCUGAAAAAAAUUUUUUUUUUUUUUUUUUUUGAGAGCGAAAAGGGCUUGGACGUAAGAUAGGACAAUGUGGAGAAUGGGGGGAAGAAUGCAAAACGAUAUAGUAUCCCUUAUGGAUGGUACAUGUGCAACAGGGAACUCUUACUUCAUAUACCCUUUGCAGUAAUCAUUCAGGGAGGAAGAAAAACCUGGAACUUGAAUGAAGGCUGAUCUUUGUUUUGUGCACUGUGGCCCUGCCAGGCAUAUAGUGAAGGUGAAUGUCUUCUCCCUCAGAAAAAAAUUGGUUCCUUGCUGUCCCAGUAAGGCAUAGCUUUUCCAGCCCUAACUUUAAAACUCAGUGAGGACUUAGAUGGGAAAGAAUGAGGUAAAUACAGAGGAUUGCAGGACAACAACUACAGCGUUGUGUACUGUGGGAAGGGGAGUUGGGCACUCUUGGAGGACUCCUGCUGAAGGUGGUCAGCCCGCCUGACAAUGGAAGACAUACUUGAAUGGGGAGCAGGGUAUGUGCUUUCAUAUGAAAAAAGAGCUGAUGUUAAAACUCAUUUGGUGAGGUCAACGUUGUCACAUACCUUCACAUAAGGGAUAGUAUAUUUUGGAUUGCAGUCAAACUUGUGCUCAGACUGGUGAAACUGAGAGUUAGGCUUUUACAUUUUAAAGAAAAUACAGUUUUCAUUCUAAUUCAGGUGUCUACUUAUUUUAUGUAAGAAUAAUUUUAGAUCUCCCCCCCACCAUGAAGUUUCUUCCUAUUUUUUUAUGCUGUAACUUACCCCAAUCUUUAUCUCUGAAUUUUACUCUUUAAAUUUUGAAGUUGACUAGCAUUUUCAAACCUUUAUUUUAUACCCUUGUCUUUUAUAUUAACUUUUUCUUAUUAUUCUUUAGGUAAGAAUGAUUGAUGUUGGCUGAUAUUGGAGUGCUUGCUCACAUGAAGUGGAUAGAUACUUCUCAAGACAUCACACAGCGUGAGUCAAUCAAGGAGGGAAGCCACAAGCAGACUGACAACGUUUCUAGGAUCAGGUGAGCUGUGUCCAGAAAACCAACAAGAAGGAGUGGAAGGAGGAAUGAACGUUUCAUUCUCGUUAAUAAAGGCAUUAUCCUAAUUA
rnacentral:sRNA from 1 species